rnacentral:rRNA from 1 species
UACGGGGGGGGGCAAGCGUUGUUCGGAAUUACUGGGCGUAAAGGGCUCGUAGGCGGCCAACUAAGUCGGAUGUGAAAUCCCCGGGCUCAACCCGGGAACUGCGUCCGAUACUGGAAGGCUUGAAUCCGGGAGAGGGAUGUGGAAUUCCAGGUGUAGCGGUGAAAUGCGUAGAUAUCUGGAGGAACACCGGUGGCGAAGGCGGAUCUCUGGGCCAUUACGUGACGCUGAGGAGCGAAAGCGUGGGGAGCGAACAGG